GCCCCUACCUUUUACUUGUUUUUUUUUGUCAGCUGUAGCGUGACUUCUGAGAGAAAGAGUCGCCAUUUUUAUUUGCUUGGGGUUUUGAAUUUUUGAUGUAGCUUAUUUAAUAAGGUUGAAUGCUAUUUGUUAGGCAUUUCUUAGAAUUUGUGAUGGGUUUUAGUUGGUUCGGGUUGGCGGUUGGUGAUCUUGCUAUUUAUUUAUUUUUGAUGAAUUUCGAUGUUUUAAGACUUGGAGACCAUAAUGUCCACCCUUCGAGAAGCUGAGUAACAUUCUACUUGUACAAUGUUAAGAAUGGCACCUUUUAAUAAAAGGAACUUCAGGCAUCCAAUCUAGGACUUCCAUCCAAUUGUGCAGGCUGCAUGGAAGUCGCAUUUACCUUUGCUGUGAACAUCAUGAACACAUACACUAUUUGAAGGUUCAUGUUUACAUAGCAGUGGUGUUGCUGUCCAAUGUGGCUUGUUGUUGCAGCCUAUGGUGGUGAAAGAUAUCAGCAUCCAGUAUUGUGUUUAAUUGCUAUUUGUGUCUAUGCAGUUUACCUUUUAUAUAUUGAGAAGGAACAAAAAAAAGUAAUAUGGGGAGGUUUAUGUCAAACAAAUAAUAAACAUGUCCGGGACUGGGGAAUGAGGAGUAAAUUGGGGUGGGAUAUUUGAUCAUCAUUUACUAAAAGAAGUGAGGUAUAUUUUUAAUGAAUGCGCAAUACUUAGUGAUAAAAUCUUUUGUUAACCUAUAUAACCUUCCCCACUUACACAUCCAUUCCUCAAACCCCAUAAACACCAACAUCAAAUCCCACAUCCACUCACAUCCAUUCCUCAAACUCCACAAUCCCCAACAUCAAACCACACAAUUGUUGUACAUCUAUAAU